ensembl:lincRNA
AUGUCUCAGGCAGUGGGGAGAAGCAGGUGGAGUGGUGAGAUUGUGGGGGUUGGGGGCUUCUCGGGAACCAGGGAUGGUCUCUCAGUGGAAGAAGAAUCACCAGACAGAACAAAUCCUAACAAUACAGACUGCAUAACACAUGAAGAGCCCUCCUUGGUGGGGAGUGGGCAGGGUUCCAAGCCUCUUCAUUCAGGGCGCUGUACUCUCAACCUUAGAUGGAGUCACCACAGUGGCUUCAGGUUCAGUUCAUUGCUUCUAGGGUGUGGAAGGGGCAUCUCUGGCGGGCUGCUUGGAGGAGGUGACAGAGCAGAGGGCAGGCCGGCACCCAGAGGCACACUGGUUCAAAUGAGAGGGCGAGACAGGCCCAAAUGUGUGUCUCUUUGUAUAUUCAUGAGUGUCUCUGGUAAGAGACAAAAAAAUCCGUCUGCGGGUUACUCCCAGAGAGGGGAGCGGGCAUGGGGCAGGCAUUUCUGUUUUUCCUUUUGUAUUUCUUACAAUAAAAAUAUUACUAAGAAAGGGAGAAAGAAGAAGCAACAGACAAGUGUGGGAGAUGAGUCCUCUGGGUACCAAGGUGGAAGACAGAUUCCAAGUGACCUGAGAUUCUCUGUGCUUCUAGAGCCUGACUUGAAUCUGUGCUCAGAAUGGUGUGGUCAGAGAGAAGGGGCUCUGGUGGGGAAGGCAGAGGAGGGCUGGGGACAGGGGGUGUGGGAGAGAGGGCUGGGGUCUCAUCUCACCGGCCAUCCUGUCCCGAGGACUGUGUGCGCCGCCUGCAGAGAGACCGCAAACACGCGGAAAAAGUGGGGUAAGGGCCCUCCCAAUCAAUGUCCUGCCCACCCCAUGACCCCGCCCAUCCCGUGGCCCAGGGACAUGGUCGGGUCCACUCACCGGUACCGCGGCUGCUCUGACGACUCCGAGGGGGACCGCUCUGGGAUAGAGAGGGACGUGGAAGAUAGGGUCGUAGCGAUGGAGGCAGUGGUGGCCUCCUCAAAAGACGGCGGCGUGCAGGGCAAGAGGUCUGGCCGACCUAUGGGAAGGAGCAGGUGGGCACCUGUACAAGCCAGGCACCCAGAGCUGCUCCUGGGAGGCCUCUGAGCUCUACCUGCAACUUGGCUCACUCCCAACUACCCAUGUCCUCUCUCUCACCCACCACCUCACACUGUUGUCCCCGCCAGCUUCAGAAGGAGAAAUAUGCUCCAAUUUCUCCCCAGCCUAAGGCCUUCCAGUACCUAUCCCCUGCUCUCAAUUAAAAACUCCCCUCAGGGUCCUGCUCCACUGGCCUCUGCCUCACUCUGCUCUAGCCAUACACACUUCUUGCUGUUCCCCGGACACCCACAGGCUAGGCCCCGUCCUGCCCCUUGGGCCUUUGCACAGGCAGUGUCUCCCUUCCUUGAUGCUCCCCCCGCCACCCAACGCCCGCCCCUCCCUGCCUGGAAUCUCUGACCCAGGAGAUGGGAGGGACCUUCCUGAACAUCAGGCUGACCCCAUUAAGCACUUCAUCCUCCCAGGUCUCCAUGCAUCUCUGACAUAAUGGGAGCCUGUCACCUGAUGGUAGGGGGCGGGGGGUGAAUUCUGUGCUCAGCUCUCACUGUGGCUCUUCCAAGGACCCAGUCCCAGCUGCUCCCCACUUCUCAGCUGCAGAUCUUGGGCUGAGGGGGGUGACUGUGACCCAGCCCCUCCCAUCCAGGUUGGGGCCAGCACAGGGCCCUCCCUUUCUCAGCACAGAGGGCCCUCCCUUCUCAGCCCCCUCGUCUCCCAGCCAGCUGCUCACCCUCGUCCUCCAGUGUGGGGUAGCUGCGGGCCCCCCGCAGGUCGUACUGUGCAUCCUCCCGCUCGCUGGGGAUCUGGCUGGCUGAGAAGGCAGCCGUGGGCCCCAUGGGCUUGACGGCCAGCAAGGCACCACGGCCCUUCUUGGAUGGUGAGGACUUCAGGGCUGCGGAGGGAGGGCGGCUGGUGCUGGGGAGCCUGAGCCCCGCAGCAGCACCCAGACAGGGCCCCACACACCCCAGAGCUCCCUCUGUGCCAAGGCCUGGCUGCCCCACUGCCCCACCUCCUGCCCUAAGUUCCAGCUGGCUUGCCUGCAGGGGCAGGGUGGGGGUGCAGGAGCCCAGGUGCCCUGUCCUGCCCACUGGCAGAGAUGGGAUCCCAGGGACCCAGAACUCCCACUCUAGCCCCCUGGAAACAGCAGUAGGAUCAGCAGCUGCCAAUGUUUACUUGGCACUUUGGGGCCUCAGCCCACCCGACUCUCAGACAAGGAAGCCAAGGGCCUGGUUCCCAUCCAGGCUGCAUGGCUUUGGGGCCCCCAAGUCCCUAUCUGCAACAAUGGGUCAAAGGAGGCAGGAAAACCCUGAUACACCUUCCACACCACCCUGGCCCCACCAAGGCCUGUCACCAGCCUCUCCCGUGCCUCCGGUGACCACUGUCCCACAUACAGUAGCGGCUCAGUUUGCCUCACACAGCCAUCCAGUCCCAGAGGCUGGGGGCUCCCUGGGUCCCCUGCCCUAUGCCAUGUCCCUGAGGGGCCACCCAGCUGCCCUGUUCCCUGGACCAAGUCCCUGACUCCAUCCUAGGGCUAGUGAACAGAGGACCAGGACCCCGGGUUUACCCUGCUCUUGACCUCCCACCCUUCUCCUUCUGCACCCCCAUCCAGAGGGCCUGGGCACUCACAGGAGUUCUUCCGGAAAACCGUGUUGCUCAUGAACUUGAAGAAGCGCUCGGCAUAGAAGCUGGGCCGGUGGACGGAGACUGUGUCCUGGGAAGGGAAGGGGGGCCUGAGGGCAGGCAGGGGAUGAGGGCUGGGGGGGCCCGUGGGCGUCCCGUGUCAGGGCUGCUGUGUCACCUUGUGGGGAUGGGACCCCAGGAACCGGUAGUGGUGGGACGGUGGUAACGGUCCCUGGGUUUAAUUGUUGACCCUCAUGCAUAAAAUGGCUAUUCAAAGAGAUAACUGAAUAAACAUCAAAAUCAAGAAACUGGAAAGAACCUUUAAAGCCGGGGCGGAGCGGGGGCGGUGGAAGAAGAGUGCAGCCGACCCUGCUACAAAGGAAGGCUUUGUCCUGGGCAGGCAGACCCGGCUCCUGCACUCAUGGUGGGGCGGCCCUGGCCCCUCCCACCCCGGUGCCC